CUACUGGUAAAGCGCUGACCGCCCCGCACACCUCACCCCCACCCUCUCGCUCUUCCUUCUUGAGUCCACCAGCGGCAGCGCCAGUCUCCCGUGCGAGAGGGUCCGAGUCAUGGAGCGCGGCAGCAGCGAUGUGGCUGCCUCGCUCUUAGCGACGGAGUUUAAAGGGGACGCACAGUCGUCUGAGCGUCUCCGAGCUGGCCGCCCCAAGGCUGUCGCCACGGAUGCUGCUGCAGGCCCUUUCCCGGGCCGGCGCCGCGCAAGCAGGACUCAGGUGCAGUCGCUCCUCGAGGACCAGCGCCGUUUUGCGCUACGCGACGGCGUUGCAUUGCCGCAGCUGUAUUCGUCUUCUGAGGGUGUAUCGGCCACCGACUGCAGGGCCGGUGCUGUGGCCCUCUCGCGCCUGCCGGACAUGUUCGGGCAGGGAGCGCUGCCGGCCAAGGCCUUGACAUCGCCGACUUCCAUGAAUGCUGCAUUGUCAACGUCGGCGGUCGCCACGGCUCUGCAGGACGCCGUGCUCUGCUGGGGCGCGUCAUCGUCGUCAUCUGCGACGCGUGGAGGUGCGGUGGGUACAUGUCGCAGCAGCGUCGGUGGCAGUGGAGCCAUCUCGGCGCCGCACGUCCGUCGCUCCUGGCGACUCAUAGAAGUAACGCAUCGAAGCGCAGUGCCUUCAACCUCGUCGCCGUACCCACCUUCGAACUGGAGCAUCGGGCAGCGUUGGGAGCGCGCAGACCACGUGGCCCAGGUCAACGCUCUGGCCCAUGCCGUAUGGGCGGAGCCGGUCAUGCAACCUGCUAGCGUGCAGGCCGCACCGCUGCCGACUGGCCUGGUGCGAUCUAACACAGAUUGCUUGUACGCCAGCGGGUUGCGCAUGUGCUUCGACAGCACGCGCUCCACUGCGUCCUUGCCAGCCUUUGCGUCCGCUGCCUCCUCCAAUGUCCUUGUGCGCACGGAAGUCGAGGACACGCGCGAGGAGAGCGCCGUCCACGGUUGUGGCUGCUCCUCACUAUUUGCGGCAUCAGGCGCGAUGACGGCGGCGAAGCCGCCGCCGCUGGCGUUCUUCACCUUCACAGAGAGCGAGUACGAUGCGAUCGUUCCACCACCGCCGCCAUCGACACGCUUCACGUACGCUUCGUCCUGCUACCUGGUGCAGCUGUGGGCACGGUUCGGCAAUCCCGUCGUGACUGUGGAUCGUUGGCGGUGGCCAGAGGGUGGUAAUGAGGAAAGUGGAGGCGACGGCGAGCGGUGGGUGCCGUCCGUGGAGGAGGUGUGCGCAGAGUACCACCGCGUCACCGCCGGAGUUCUGCAACAGCGGCGACAGCAGCUGCUGGACGCUGUGCAGUCGCAGCAGCCUCACCUGCUGAGCGAGUCGUCCCCUGCACUGCCGCCUACAACGUGCGCCACUCGCAGGGGUGGAAGGAAAGGGACAGAGGCCACGGUCGACGAGCGCAGCAGCUCUGUCGCUGGAGGUGCUUCGACGACGGCGCCCUCACAUCAUGUGCAUCCUUUUGUGGCCUCCUUUGACCGCUAUGCUCUUCUCCAGAGCACUCCAACCGCAGCACCCGCAGAUGACGUCCGUGCGGCUCCUGCAUCAUCGCAGCAAGCGCUGAGCACUGCGAAAGGCCGGGACGGCGGGCACUCGGUGUCGCUGCUGCCAUCACAACUGUCACCACCGCCGAUCCCGCCAUCGACGCACGGCUCUUCCGCCACUAUUGCCGCUACCGCAUGUGGUGAUUCGGGGUCACUUACAUUGGAUGCCCCUCCUUCACCACCGCCAGCAGGGUCCACAGCCACUGCUCAGGAGCGGCUGACAGCGCUGGCGACGCCAAACGCCUGGUUCGCGCACGACGCUGAGGUGCGCCGACGCGCCUGCCUCGCACGACUGCUACGGCAAGAGCAGCAGGCAAAUGUGCCGUAUCAGCAGGCGGCCAACCGAUACCUCGCCUUGGUAGCGGGUGCCGCGGUGGCACUGCAGCGCGCUGUGUUUGCUUUUUACAACCGCGGUGAUGAAGCCGACAUGCCUGAGGCACCGGUGUGGGAGGAGGUGGUGGCAGGGGACUCGACUGACCGCGCUAGCCUCACGGAGGCGGACGCGCACCGUGGUACAAGCUCUCCCUCUUCACGCCGGCUGGGCCGCCCUCCUCGGAGCACCUUCACGGUGCAGCUGCAGCCGCUACCGAGGGUGGACCCGGCCGCGUGGCGGGCAGCCGAGGUCGCGGUACGCAAAGCGGAGGCGGAAGUGCUGGGCUCGAUGAGCCCCGCCGCGCCAACAGCAGCUGCUGACGCGGCCUCGCCUUCGCGGCGCCCGCCCCGGUCCGCUGCGGCAGUGGCGCGAUCGCAGAAGCGCCCACGUAGUGCGACCGCAGAGCGAGCCGCUACGACCGGCAAGCGCAAAGGCCGCGUAGCGGUGGCCAAGAGCGCCCCAGAUGGUGCUGCAGCAGACGCCCUAGCGCAGCUCAACGACGGCGACGACGAGGUUGCCGACAGCGAAGCUUCCGCGCUGUCUGAAACCGGUGGCGCGUUCAGCGACGAAGAGCAAGGCCUCGAGGACAGCGUCGCAGGUGAGGAGGGUGAUGGGGGCGUGAAGAUGGGAUUCACAGAAGAGCAGCGACAGCAACAUUCCACGCAGCCCUCUCCUCGAAAACUGCCGUCAUCGCGGCUGCGCCGUUCCGUUGGCACUGGGACAUCUCAUAGUCAAGCAUCACAGCUUUCAGUGGAUGCCACGUACGCAGCGCUGCAGGCUUACAUCACGGACGUGCUACCUUUCCGCUGUGCUCGGCUGCGCGGCGUGGUGCAGGCGGGUUGGCUGCUCCCCGCACCCCCCGCACUGCCGCACACCCUCACCGACCCCAUUAAGGAAGAGGAGGUGUGCACCGUCGAUGCGCAGGUACGAGGGAAAACCGGUGCAGAGAUUUGGCCGACACCCGCCUUUCCAUCGUCGUCAUCCGCGCCACAGCAAGAGCAGGCACCCGUGACCGGCGACACGGCGGCGACACAGUCCCUGGAUUCAGCUCUGCUUGCCCCCAUUCUAACAGAGGGGGAGUAUCAGCAGCUGCGAAAGGUGAGCACGGCGGGCGUCUGCAACCGCGUCGUUAGCCACACCGAUGAGGCUGUCCUUCUCUCCCUGCCAUCUGCUGUGCCGCGGCUGCACCGUGAGGUGGAGCAGGAGCUGGAGCGGUACCUGUAUGAGGACACAUCAGCGUUGAUGGAGGUGAACCCGAUUGCGCAGUCGCUCGUCGACGCUAUUCGUGUCGCCUACACGCAGAACAAGCUGCUGCAACGCUUCGCAACGCGGCUGGAGCACGUUCGGGAAGGACUGAAGAAGGUCAGCGAAGAGUGCGAGGAGGAGGCGCAGGCGGUGCCGCGCGUACCCUAAGGAAGUGCGCGCCCGCACCAGCGGGUCCCCGGAAGCGUCCGCCAUCCCCCCCUCCUCUCUCCCGGUGCCACGAGGCGCGUCUGUUGGCAGGAAGAAGCGCUGGUGUGGGAGAGGCCGAGAGGGGGAGAGGAUGAAGUGCUGUGCCUGUAGGUUGCUGUCCAAGUCGCACGCAUGGUCCCUCUCUCUUCCCUUGCCCCCCCCACCCACGCACACGCACACGCACACCGUUGCCUCUAGCUUGUGCGACAGACCUUGCGCAUACACGUACAUGUGCACAGAUCAACACGCAAGCCCUCGUGCGCCCCUCACGCGGGUGGAGGGGAACUGAAAGUACGCGUGCUCGGGUCGAC
rnacentral:misc_RNA from 1 species